rnacentral:lncRNA from 1 species
UACCCUUUUCUUUGGGGUUGCUGUGACGGCUCCUCUGACCUUAAGCACGUGCUGACCCCUUUUAUUGAGGAGAGGCUAUUCAAACGAGGCAAGAGGUCAGGUUUCGGGGGGCUGAGUCUAGCUUCAUGAUGUCCACUGUCAGAAGGUUGACUGACAUCUAGGUAGGCCACACCCAAGGGCACAGUAAUAGAAGGGGACACACAUAAGUCACUUCCAUGGAACAUUCUAUCCGAAACAGGGCAAGGCGUUAUAUUACAAAGGAACAGGUGAGCAUAGCUCUACCCAUGGGGCUGUGAGCCCGGACACAGUCACUUGAACCCUAGAAGAAUGGAGCAGUCUAGCAGCAUGGGUGCCUGACGCCACAUCGCCACAUCGCCCAGUACGGGAGUUAACUCAGUCACAAGUGAGGUUGGUCUCCCACAGCUAAUGCCUGGAAAAAGUGACAAACUGAAAUUUGGUGAACUGUUGAUGAUUUAUCUAGAUUAAAAAUUUGGGGUAAGGACUUUUAGCAGGAGAAACACUCUACGCAAAGGAUGAGAGGUAAUAAAAAGGGAAUCUUGGUGGAAGUGAAAAAAUACAUGAUUUGAAGUAUAUAGAGUUGAGCAUGAGUUGUGGGUGGGGAGUGACAUGCUAGGGUUUUUAAAGGAAUUUGGAGUAACAGCAGUGAAAAACCACCACAGUUUAAAUGUGAAGAAGUGAUGCAGUUAUAUCCAUGGGUUUUUUUGUUCCUGUGUUUUUCUUUUUUCUUUUUCUACUGACAUUUAUGAAACGGUCUAAUAAAUUCAGCUUGGAUAUUUUCUUCUGUAACCUGACAUCACCAUAUCUAAAUCAUGUGAUCACAGUUCUCUUGUCAUUGGGGUCCAAAUCUUUUAGAACAUUUACAUUGUUUUUAUUCUCUUAAAGUGUGGGUCAUUUACUAGGUCUUUUACUUUGUCAAUACAGCAUGUGUUUAUCUUUUCUUUCUGUUCCCAUAGCUAUUCAUCUUUGGAUCAUCUAUCUUUGCUUGCUUCAUUAAAGACUUUGAUUCAACUUGUUAAGGAAGUUGCUCUGUUAAAGAACAUUAAAAAUUUCUUAAGGAGAAUUUUAAUUCUUAGGUCUUAUAUUCAAGAGUUUCCAAAUUCAUGUUUUACUUGAUUUUUAAGUUUCAUCUCCUACUGGUUUUCCUCUUUUUCUUUCUGGUCCCCGUGUACCUCCUCCCCUCCCCCCCCCCCGCCCGGUGUUGGGAAUCAAACCCAGGGCCUCAAGUAUGCUAGGUAAGCUCUCUACCGCUAAGCCAUUUCCCCAGCCUUUUUUACUAUUUUUUUAAAAUAAGCGAUUUGUUUCAGUCUAAUUAAUCAUCAUUUUUUGAAAAUUUUCACCUUUAUUCAUAUCUUUCCAUUUGUGUUAUCUCUGCUCUUGAAAUUUAACUAAUCUAAGAAAACUCUGCUUAAAUUCUAACUCUGCCUUGAGGUAGUACCUGCUGUAUGGGAGAGAAAAGAUUUCUUUUUUCACUCAUCACUAGGUUUAUAGUGGAGAACCCUUUAACAAAAGACAAAUUAAUGAGAAAAGCAGACAAAUUUAUUUAAUGAAAGUUUUAUUUGACGUGGAAGUGUUCAGGAAUGAAGACUAAAAGAAACAGAAAAAAACUAUUUUUAUGGACAACCUGCAAAAGUAUGAUUAGUGGGAAUUCUUAUUGUUAUCUCUAUGGGACAUUCCUUCCUUCCCUAUAGGGCAAGACACCUAUCACAUAAGGCACAAGGCUUUUUAGGGGGGAAAGGAAAG